CAACUCCGGCGGGUGCCCCCGGUGGAGCGCAUCGCAGCUCGGCCGCGCGAGCCGCCGACGUGAAGCGGGAGAGAAGAACCGAAGGAGCCGGUGAGACGCGGCUCGGGCAACAUUUCUCCGUCGCUCCUCGAAAGCACGGUACAUACUGCAUGUGGACAGCAAGCAGAAAUAAAGAAUCUCUUAGAGGAAGAGCUCAUGACCUCAUGAAAGGUGGCGAUAGACAUCAGGAAGAAGGAAAAAGGGUCCACGUCCAUCCUGCAGAGGAG